CAACAUCUAAUUCCUGGCCACGUACGGUUAAGAACUUUCUUAUAUGCAAGAUUUGCUCAAGAUACGGCUGUUCGGUAAGGACCUUUCUUCCCAAACUGUGUAGUACCAUGAAUAAGUGUCUCCUACUAUAGCCGGAGGCCGACCAAAGCCUUGACAUGGAGGCUCUCUAUUUGAGCUGCCCUCAUCGGCGAAACACACUCGUUGAAACAGUCACCGAAUCGAGGCAGGGUCGUUGAGAAACUCUCCACGAUGAAGAAUCAGACUCAACUACGAACCAGGCUCGUUAUGACACUCUCACAGUGGCAACAUGCUCUACUUUGAUUAUGAAGUCAGAAAUACGAUGUGUCAAUAAAUAGAUAAAUAAAUACUAAGAAAUAAAA